rnacentral:rRNA from 1 species
CCCUUAGACGUUCUGGGCCGCACGCGCGCUACACUGACCAGUGCAACAAGCAUCCGUCCUUGGCCGACAGGCCCGGGCAAUCUUUGAACGCUGGUCGUGAUGGGGAUAGACUUUUGCAAUUUUUGGUCUUCAACGAGGAAUUCCUAGUAAACGCAAGUCAUCAACUUGCAUUGAUUACGUCCCUGCCCUUUGUACACACCGCCCGUCGCACCUACCGAUUGAAUGGUCCGGUGAAGCCUCCGGAUUGGCGCGCACCUCGGUGCCGCCGAGAAGUUGGCUAAACCUUACCAUUUAGAGGAAGUAAAAGUCGUAACA